UCUUCAUUGGUCUAGUGGUCAUGAUUUCCGCUUGUCACGCGGGAGACCUGGGUUCGAUUCCCAGAUGGAGAG